UACAGAGGUCCCAAGCGUUGUUCGGAUUCAUUGGGCGUAAAGGGUGCGUAGGUGGCGCUGUAAGUCGGGUGUGAAAUUUCGGAGCUUAACUCCGAGACUGCAUUCGAUACUGCGGUGCUUGAGGACUGGAGAGGAGACUGGAAUUCAUGGUGUAGCAGUGAAAUGCGUAGAGAUCAUGAGGAAGACCAGUGGCGAAGGCGGGUCUCUGGGCCGAUACUGACGCUGAGGAGCGAAAGCGUGGGGAGCGAACAGG
rnacentral:rRNA from 1 species